rnacentral:rRNA from 1 species
UUUUAUGUCAUUUCCCUGAAAGAGUCUUAAUCUCCAUUUAAUGGUCACCAAAUACAAGGCCAAAGUAGAUUUCUGCCUUUUGAGCAGGGUUGGGCCUGGUUAGUACUUGGAUGGGAGAUCACCUAGGAAGACCAGGUGCUGUAGGCA